rnacentral:rRNA from 1 species
CAGCAGCCGCGGUAAUACAGAGGGUGCGAGCGUUAAUCGGAUUUACUGGGCGUAAAGCGUGCGUAGGCGGCUUUUUAAGUCGGAUGUGAAAUCCCUGAGCUUAACUUAGGAAUUGCAUUCGAUACUGGGAAGCUAGAGUAUGGGAGAGGAUGGUAGAAUUCCAGGUGUAGCGGUGAAAUGCGUAGAGAUCUGGAGGAAUACCGAUGGCGAAGGCAGCCAUCUGGCCUAAUACUGACGCUGAGGUACGAAAGCAUGGGGAGCAAACAGGAUUAGAUACCCCAGUAGUCCCUGUCUCUUAUAA